GACGAACGCUGGCGGCGUGCUUAACACAUGCAAGUCGAACGGAAAGGCCCUGCUUUUGUGGGGUGCUCGAGUGGCGAACGGGUGAGUAACACGUGAGUAACCUGCCCUUGACUUUGGGAUAACUUCAGGAAACUGGGGCUAAUACCGGUUAGGAGCUCCUGCUGCAUGGUGGGGGUUGGAAAGUUUCGGCGGUUGGGGAUGGACUCGCGGCUUAUCAGCUUGUUGGUGGGGUAGUGGCUUACCAAGGCUUUGACGGGUAGCCGGCCUGAGAGGGUGACCGGCCACAUUGGGACUGAGAUACGGCCCAGACUCCUACGGGAGGCAGCAGUGGGGAAUAUUGCACAAUGGGCGGAAGCCUGAUGCAGCAACGCCGCGUGCGGGAUGACGGCCUUCGGGUUGUAAACCGCUUUCGCCUGUGACGAAGCGUGAGUGACGGUAAUGGGUAAAGAAGCACCGGCUAACUACGUG
rnacentral:rRNA from 1 species